rnacentral:lncRNA from 1 species
GAUCUCAAUUAGGUCCCCUUUAACACAGGAGUUAAGACAUACACAUUAAGGAUGUCUUAUGUUGCAUAAUGAAAAGAAUAUUUCUAGGUUUUGCUACUAUAGGACAUUUACACUUUAGAUGUGGAAGAGAAGGGCAGGGUAAAAAAAACCUAACAGUGCAAAAAAUUUGAAACAGUUUCUUAAUAAAAAACAACAUGGAAGUCAAAGUCCUGUAUACGCUGAAGUAAUAAAUCUUCAGUUAUAGGCUACAAAGAGAGAUAACUAUGAGCAAAAGUUAAAAUAGCCAAUAAAUCAGUUCUGCUGGCUGGUGGCUGCCCUCCUUUUAAAACCCAAGUUGAAUGAGCAUAGAGAAAAACCUUGUCUUUCAAAACAAACAAAACACACACAAAAAAGGUUGGGGGUAGGGUUGUGAUGGAGGAAGGGAAAACAACAGAUAAUCCCUUCUCCUCCCCCUCUGCACAGUGGGCAAUUUCUAAUUCAGAAUCAAUGUGUCUACAAUUAACUUCAAUGUGUCUUUAGUUAACUAAGAUUCCAGAAACACCAAGAGAUUUCUAAAUACAAAUAUAAGAUACAUCAAAAGUCUUUUAUUUUAAAAUUGCUUCCCCAUAUUAUAAGAUAUUUAUAAUUUUGUACUCAAACUUUACCAAUCUGAGUAAAUAUAAGACAUGUCAAUUUUUUAAAAAAUGAUUUGUUUGAUAGAAAAGAAAUUUAAAUAAAUUCCAUGUAUUACUUUGUUCACUAUUAGCAAAGAUUUGUCUGCUCAGAGCAAAGGGUUCUUGGUAGAGACAUACUUAAAAAUCCCAUAUAACCACCACACCCCAUCAAUUAAAAAAAAAAAAAAAAAAAUCACCCAAUAAAGUAGUCUGGUGGUUUCAGGACAAUUUACAAAUCAUGAAACAGCUAGUAACAUCUCUCAGCUAAGAUGCUGAAAUAAUUUGCAAUAAAAGGAAACUGAAAAAUCAGAAGUGAUCUUAUAAUAUGCAGCACAAACUGGUAGAGAGGGUCAAUACUUCAGUUAGGUGUACUCACAUCAAUUUGCAUAAAGACAACAAUGUUAAAUUGCCUAAGAUUUGAUAUCAUACAGAUCAUUGGGAAUUUGUUUUAAAAUAAAACUUAUCCUAACUGAAAAAGCACAAGAUCAGAAACUGCUCAAAAUGCUGAGCUACCUUGGAAGGAACAGGGAAGGAAAAGGGAGGGGAAGAGAACCACAGUAUUUUAACAAGUAGGUUUUCCAACAGGAUAUUUACAAAAAUUUACCUGAGGUGCAAGCAUUAU